AACGAACGCUGGCGGCAGGCCUCAUACAUGCAAGUCGAGCGAUUAAGACUCCUUCGGGAGUGUAUAAAGCGGCGAACGGGUGAGUAACAGGUGGAUGAUCUACCUUCCGGUGGGGGAUAACGGCUGGAAACGGCCGCUAAUACCGCAUUCGGUUAAUACGCUGCGGCGUAUUAAAGAAAGGCGCUUCAAAGCGCCGCCGGGAGAUGAGUCCGCCCCCCAUUAGCUAGUUGGUGAGAUAACAGCUCACCAAGGCAACGAUGGGUAGCCGAACUGAGAGGUUGAUCGGCCACACUGGAACUGAGACACGGUCCAGACACCUACGGGUGGCAGCAGUAGGGAAUAUUGGGCAAUGGGCGAAAGCCUGACCCAGCCAUGCCGCGUGAGUGAUGAAGGUCCUAGAGAUUGUAAAACUCUUUUCUGAGGAAGAAUAAAUAGGGAAGGAAAUGUCCUUAUUUUGACGGUACCUCAGGAAUAAGGAACGGCUAACUCCGUG
rnacentral:rRNA from 1 species